UCCUACGGGAGGCAGCAGUCGAGAAUUUUUCUCAAUGGGGGAAACCCUGAAGGAGCGACGCCGCGUGGAGGAUGAAGGUCUUCGGAUUGUAAACUCCUGUCAUUUGGGAACAAUUGUUGGCGAUUAACUGUCGUCAGCUUGAUAGUACCAGAAGAGGAAGAGACGGCUAACUCUGUGCCAGCAGCCGCGGUAAUACAGAGGUCUCAAGCGUUGUUCGGAUUCAUUGGGCGUAAUGGGUGCGUAGGUGGCGGGGUACGUAUGGUUUGAAAUCUCGGGGCUCAACCCCGAAACUGCACUGGAUACUGCCGUGCUCGAGUACUGGAGAGGAGAUUGGAAUUUACGGUGUAGCAGUGAAAUGCGUAGAUAUCGUAAGGAAGACCAGUGGCGAAGGCGAAUCUCUGGACAGUUACUGACACUGAGGCACGAAGGCCAGGGGAGCAAACGGGAUUAGAUACCCCAGUAGUCC
rnacentral:rRNA from 1 species